GCCAUGUAUGGUGGUGCUUGCCUGUAAUCCCAGCUACUUAGGAGGCUGAGGCAGGAGGAUGGCAAGUUUGAGGUCAGUCUGGGUAACUCAGCAAGACUCUGUCUCAA
rnacentral:sRNA from 1 species